rnacentral:rRNA from 1 species
GAUGAACGCUGGCGGCGUGCCUAAUACAUGCAAGUCGAGCGAACGGACGAGAAGCUUGCUUCUCUGAUGUUAGCGGCGGACGGGUGAGUAACACGUGGAUAACCUACCUAUAAGACUGGGAUAACUUCGGGAAACCGUAGCUAAUACCGGAUAAUAUUUUGAACCGCAUGGUUCAAAAGUGAAAGACGGUCUUGCUGUCACUUAUAGAUGGAUCCGCGCUGCAUUAGCUAGUUGGUAAGGUAACGGCUUACCAAGGCAACGAUGCAUAGCCGACCUGAGCGGGUGAUCGGCCACAUUGGAACUGAGACAGGGUCCAGACUCCUACGGGAGGCAGCAGUAGGGAAUCUUCCGCAAUGGGGGGAAGCCUGACGGAGCAACGCCGCGUGAGUGAUGAAGGUCUUCGGAUCGUAAAACUGUGUUAUUAGGGAAGAACAUAUGUGUAAGUAACUGUGCACAUCUUGACGGUACCUAAUCAGAAAGCCACGGCUAACUACGUG